rnacentral:rRNA from 1 species
UACGUAGGGCGCAAGCGUUAUUCGGAAUGUCUGGGCGUAAAGGGUGCGUAGGCGGUUGUUUAAGUUUGGUGUGAAAUCUCCCGGCUCAACUGGGAGGGUGCGCCGAAUACUGAAUGACUAGAGUGCGGGAGAGGAGAGUGGAAUUCCUGGUGUAGCGGUGAAAUGCGUAGAUAUCAGGAGGAACACCGGUGGUGUAGACGGCUCUCUGGACCGUAACUGACGCUGAGGCACGAAAGCGUGGGUAGCAAACAGG